CCUAUGUCGGAUUAGCUAGUUGGUGAGGUAAUGGCUCACCAAGGCAGCGAUCCGUAGCUGGUCUGAGAGGAUGAUCAGCCACAUCGGGACUGAGACACGGCCCGAACUCCUACGGGAGGCAGCAGUGGGGAAUAUUGGACAAUGGGGGCAACCCUGAUCCAGCCAUGCCGCGUGUGUGAAGAAGGCCCUCGGGUUGUAAAGCACUUUCAGCGAGGAAGAACGCCUAGUGGUUAAUACCCAUUAGGAAAGACAUCACUCGCAGAAGAAGCACCGGCUAACUCCGUGCCAGCAGCCGCGGUAAUACGGAGGGUGCAAGCGUUAAUCGGAAUUACUGGGCGUAAAGCGCGCGUAGGUGGCUUGAUAAGCCGGUUGUGAAAGCCCCAGGCUCAACCUGGGAACGGCAUCCGGAACUGUCAGGCUAGAGUGCAGGAGAGGAAGGUAGAAUUCCCGGUGUAGCGGUGAAAUGCGUAGAGAUCGGGAGGAAUACCAGUGGCGAAGGCGGCCUUCUGGACUGACACUGACACUGAGGUGCGAAAGCGUGGGUAGCAAACAGGAUUAGAUACCCUGGUAGUCCACGCCGUAAACGAUGUCGACCAGCCGUUGGGUGCCUAGCGCACUUUGUGGCGAAGUUAACGCGAUAAGUCGACCGCCUGGGGAGUACGGCCGCAAGGUUAAAACUCAAAUGAAUUGACGGGGGCCCGCACAAGCGGUGGAGCAUGUGGUUUAAUUCGAUGCAACGCGAAGAACCUUACCUACCCUUGACAUCGACAGAAGCCGAGAGAGAUCUUGGUGUGCCUUCGGGAACUGUCAGACAGGUGCUGCAUGGCUGUCGUCAGCUCGUGUUGUGAAAUGUUGGGUUAAGUCCCGUAACGAGCGCAACCCUUGUCCUUAUUUGCCAGCGCGUAAUGGCGGGAACUCUAAGGAGACUGCCGGUGACAAACCGGAGGAAGGUGGGGACAACGUCAAGUCAUCAUGGCCCUUACGGGUAGGGCUACACACGUGCUACAAUGGCCGGUACAAAGGGCAGCGAGCUCGCGAGAGUCAGCGAAUCCCUUAAAGCCGGUCUCAGUCCGGAUCGGAGUCUGCAACUCGACUCCGGAAGUCGGAAUCGCUAGUAAUCGUGAAAUCAGA
rnacentral:rRNA from 1 species